CACUGCUGCAUCAGUGAAUGACAUGAGGAUGUGAAAGAAUACAACGGGCUGGGCAUAUGAUUUUAAAGCCAUUCUCGAACGGACUGCUAUAUGGACGAUGAGGAAUACACUGAGGACUGACUGAGGAACGGCCUGCAUUUGAGCCUGAGUCUUCCUCACCUGCCAGCCAUGGACUAGACGAGAGGAGUGUGUGUUAGAGAGUGUGUGACCGCAGACAUAAGCAUGGUGGUGAGGUGGCUGCUCAACUCCCAUUGAGAACACAGAAAAUGAGAGUGUGAAGCUGCAGGGCAGGCAGCGCAGCCACAUGAUCCCAUGACUCUGGACAUGGAUGCGGUCCUGUCAGACUUUGUUCGGUCCACAGGGGCAGAACCGGGUCUGGCACGAGACCUGCUGGAAGGUAUGA